GGCUACAUGAGUGUCCCACUCAUUUCCAAGAAGCACCUCUUUUAAAUAGCAAGUUUCAAAGAACCGGUUAAAUAUUGUGAUAAUUUGCGUCUUGACGCUUUUACGUAAUCGCGCGGUUCAUAUUUUUGCGUGGCAUGCUAAAACCAAACAGGAUAGAUCCUGUCUGUCACAGCCGCUGCAGAGUGUGAACUGAAGCGAAACUGCUGGGUUAGAGAUGUUAGACAGAGAAUAUCGCUUGCUGUCCAGGAUCUGGACUCUACUGUCCGCCUGUGAGUGACCCUUGCGACUCUUCAGAUGCAUCAGUAUGCUGGAGAAUCCUUCUCCUGCGUAGAGCUGUCCACACGUGACAAAACAUAGCGGAAAAAAGAAGAGAUAGAGAAAAGAUGCAAACUACACACAUGCAAUAACAGGGCAGUGGAGCAAGAUAAUAAUAAUAAUAAUAAUAAAAAAAAACCCAAUUAAUUAUAUAAUUAAUUAUAUAACUGAACAAUACAAAUAAUAAUUUAUA